rnacentral:rRNA from 1 species
AUGAACGCUGGCGGCGCGCCUAACACAUGCAAGUCGAACGCACCUUCGGGUGAGUGGCGAACGGGUGAGUAAUACAUAGGUAACCUACCCUUAAGACUGGGAUACCUUCUCGAAAGGGAAGUUAAUACCGGAUACGCUCUUUUUAACACAAGUUUUAGAGAGGAAAGAUUUAUCACUUAAGGAGGGGCUUAUGCCUGAUUAGCUAGUUGGUGGGGUAAUGGCCUACCAAGGCGAUGAUCAGUAGCUGGUCUGAGAGGACGGACAGCCACACUGGGACUGAGACACGGCCCAGACUCCUACGGGAGGCAGCAGUGGGGAAUCUUGCGCAAUGGGGGCAACCCUGACGCAGCGACGCCGCGUGAGUGAAGAAGUCUUUCGGGAUGUAAAACUCUGUCGAGAGGGACGAUUAUGACGGUACCUCUAAAGGAAGCCCCGGCUAAUUACGU